rnacentral:rRNA from 1 species
GUAGUACGGGUCUCCAGCCCGACCUCCACCCUAUGUUACCACCACGUUGCUUUGGCGGGCCCGCCCUCUGGGGCCGCCGGGGGCUUUACCGCCCCUGGCCCGUGCCCGCCGGUAGCCAUCUUAAAUUCUGAUAACUGUGCCGUCUGAGUAUAGAUAUAAAUCGUUAAAAACUUUCAACAACGGAUCUCUUGGUUCUGGCAUCGAUGAAGAACGCAGCGAAAUGCGAUAAGUAAUGCGAAUUGCAGAAUUCAGUGAGUCAUCGAAUCUUUGAACGCAUAUUGCGCCCUUUGGUAUUCCGAAGGGCAUGCCUGUUCGAGCGUCAUUAUCAACCAUCAAGCCUGGCUUGUCGUUGGACCUUUUGGUCGUCGAGACCGGUCCGAAAGAUAAUGGACGGGCGUCUGGUGGCCCCCGAUGCAACGAGCUCUUUUAAACAGCACGCAUCGGUGCGGUCGGCAGCCCCGCCCCAAACCUCAAUUUUUCAGGUUGACCUCGGAUCAGGUAGGAAUACCCGCUGAACUUAA